rnacentral:Y_RNA from 1 species
GGCUGGUCCAAUGGCAGUGGGUUAUCAGGACUUACUAACAUUAGUGUCAGUAAAGUUGGUGUACAAUCCCCCACUGCUAAAUUUGACUGGCUUUAA